rnacentral:piRNA from 1 species
UAUGUACUUUAUGUGAAUGCGUGUGUCUU